rnacentral:rRNA from 1 species
UUUACGGCCGCGGUAUCUUGACCGUGCAAAGGUAGCACAAUUAAUUGUCCCCUAAAUAGGAACUAGAAUGAACGGCAUCACGAGGGUUUGACUGUCUCCCUACUUUAAUCAAUAAAAUUGAUUUUCCCGUGAAGAAGCGGGAAUAUAAAUAUAAGACGAAAAGACCCCAUGGAGCUUUAAACUUAUCAUCACUUAUCAAAAUUUUAAAACACCACUGAUAAAUAUGAGUGAUAGUUUUCGGUUGGGGCGACCCUGGAGAAAAACAAAUCCUCCAAGCUGUAAAAUAAAAAUAUGCUAGAGCAACAACUCAAACAAUCAAAACCUUGACAAAAUGACCCAGAAUGUAUCUGAUCAACGAACCAAGUUACCCUGGGGAUAACAGCGCAAUCCAUUUCAAGAGCCCCUAUCGACAAAUGGGUUUACGACCUCGAUGUUGGAUCGGGAUGUCCUAGCAACGCAGCCGCUGCUAAGGGUUCGUUUGUUCAACGAUUAAUAUCCCACGUGAUCUGA